rnacentral:rRNA from 1 species
AUUGAACGCUGGCGGCAGGCCUAACACAUGCAAGUCGAACGGUAACAGGAAGAAGCUUGCUUCUUUGCUGACGAGUGGCGGACGGGUGAGUAAUAUCUGGGAAACUGCCUGAUGGAGGGGGAUAACUACUGGAAACGGUAGCUAAUACCGCAUAACGUCGCAAGACCAAAGAGGGGGACCUUCGGGCCUCUUGCCAUCGGAUGUGCCCAGAUGGGAUUAGCUAGUAGGUGGGGUAACGGCUCACCUAGGCGACGAUCCCUAGCUGGUCUGAGAGGAUGACCAGCCACACUGGAACUGAGACACGGUCCAGACUCCUACGGGAGGCAGCAGUGGGGAAUAUUGCACAAUGGGCGCAAGCCUGAUGCAGCCAUGCCGCGUGUAUGAAGAAGGCCUUCGGGUUGUAAAGUACUUUCAGCGGGGAGGAAGGGAGUAAAGUUAAUACCUUUGCUCAUUGACGUUACCCGCAGAAGAAGCACCGGCUAACUCCGUG